rnacentral:lncRNA from 1 species
CAGAGUCGCCAGAGUUGUCCCACUUCCUUUUCACACACCUCGAAGGUGAUAUAAGGGAGUUUUUUCCAAUUUAAGUGAUAUUAUUAGAAAUGAGAUUAUUUAUUUAUUUAUUUUUAUUCAGAUUUGCCACUUGGGAUGGUUUGUUUCUGAUGUCCCAAGUCACUGAUUUAUAUUUAAAAUCCCAAAUCGAGCAAAAUUCAAUUUUCCUUUU